GCGUAUAAUUUUCCGAUUGGCCAAUAGGAACGCUGGAUUCCACCUCUCAAUCCAAUUAGCGCUCGACUUUGUCGCAAACGUCAAAUCAUGCUAACCAUAAAUAUCACAUCGUUAGUUUAGUUACAGUUGAGAAGUUAGCUAAUAUUCAACACAGAGGAUUUUAAGUUUGGAGUACGGACGACGAGAGAAUGAGAUUCAUUUAGGGUUAGGAGUUCAGUGAGCAAACACGUGUGUUUAUAAAUUAGAUAAUGCUAAUUCGGCUAACGCUGUCAAGCUAAGUCAACCAACAGGUGGGUUAGAGGUGCUGCAGCGUAUUUCACAGACAGCUUAAAUGAUAAUUUGAGUGCAUGUAAGUGAAGUUAAGUGGAGCUGUACUUAACUUUGGGUAAAUUUAUCAUUUACAUUUGACCCUGUGUGCAGGAGCAUUGAGCUUCGGACAGCCACAGUAUCAUGCCAGGGGACCAACUCCAGAUCUGAUGCUGGUUCAGAUGGCCCAGGCAGAAAGUGCCUUGUUCAAGGACAUACCUUAUGUUUCACCACUGAGGAAGGACAAGCUUUAUCAAGACAAAUGGCCGUGGUGCUCAGGUGGGGCUUGAGAAAACGGUGGCCCUCACAGCAACACACGGCAGCAGUAGCAGCCGCAUGAAAAACCCCAUCCUGCUACUACCCCACCCCCACCCCCACCCCAAAGAACCCCAACAAGGAGACUUCAGACUACCAUAUCAGGACGGGCUGUCCGUGGAUCGGCCUGUGGGAUGGAGGUAAGCUUCUGGGCUUCUGUCUGCCUUUCUCUGUCUCACAGAUUCCUCUGGAUCCACCCCCCUCCUGGAUCCCAGAUUCUCUCCAUCAUCUCCUCCAGCCGUGAGGUCUAACCGGCAGGGCAGGGGCGUGUGGGCGGACAUGCUGGGCGCUGGCAGCGUGUUCCGUCUGCUAGUGAGUAAUGCGAGUACAGAGACGACCCCCUCCACCACCACCCCCCAAACACACACACACACACACACACACACACACACACUUCACACUCCCAGAAAGAGAUGGGCCAUAGAUGGAGAGGCAGGCGCUCCUGCUGUGACUUGGCGCACCCCACUGGACAGCUGGAGACUUAGGGAACGGAGACGCUGCCAAACAUGCCUGACAGAGCAGGGGAGUGCUGGAGGUGCAAGGCUGGGCGAGGCCUGAGGUGACUCCCAUACCUGCAGCUGAUCACUGGCCCAUCAUCUGUAAUUAUCUACACUUAUAUACCAGUGAGAUAAAAAGAGGGAUGAGGAACACGCACACACACACACGCACGUACACAUUUAUAAUCACAUUAAAAGGCUAUGAAAAGAGAACCAUUGACCGACCAAUGAGUUUGGAAUGAAUGCACCUAAUUAUGUUACUCUGAUGAGGAAGUUAUAUCUGCUGUAAUUAUUUUGAUUGAUAUAGUUGUACAGCAGUGAUAUGCAUAAUGUGCUCCUGCAUUGUUUAUUUAAUGCCAAUUAUAUUGUAUCACAACAACAAUUUGCUCAAACUGUGAACAGGAGUUAUUACUGAACCCAAAGCAACAAUGAGAUCUAUUACUGUUUUGUCUCGUAUUUAUGUUUGGCCAAUGAAAACAAUGUUAACUUAUGGCUGCAACCAAAGAAUUCUGUCAUUAUAAAUUCUCGAUUAUUGACAGAUAGUGUUGUCCCUUAUUUCCCACAUGCUGAGGUGACUUCUUGAAAUUGCUUGUUUUAUUUGAUUAAAAAAACAAAAUAUUCAGUUGACUUUCAUAUAUCAUAAAGAAAAGCAUCAAAAAAAUCAGAUGAAAAGCUAAAACCAGUGAAUGUUUUGCAUUAAUCAAUUCAAAUCAGAUUUGUUGGUGAUUAACUGUCUGGGGAUUGGCCAAUUGAAUAAUCGACUGUGUUGAUGUGCGCACGCUUUUUUCACAACACAUUAUCAUAAAUAAAAAACUCUCAAGAAUUCCAAGAAAAAAAUCUCUCAAGAUUGAAUGCGAAAUGUUCAACCGAGGCAACAAUUCACAAGUUCUCCCUCUCCAGGUCAAACAGCUUGCACACAGCAUAUGCAGAUUAGAGCAAAGUGCUGCAAUCUACAUUGGGACUCUUCAUCAUGAUGCUGUUGGGCUAUUUUACAACUAUAGCUCAUAAUGCAGGAAAGGAAUAACACUGCUUUAAUGUUA